CCUGGGGCCCACAGAGCCCCACCCCUGACAACCUUCUGGCCGCCUCAGGCAUAGGACCCGGUCCAGGUCCCAGGGAGGGGUCAGUGUGAUGGACGGGAUCAUCUGCAUGAAAGGACACUCCCCCUCUCAGAGUUUGAAGAGGGGAAGGAGCGGUGUGGGGAUGCUCUGCUCAGCUGUGGGGUCCCAGACGGCAGGACGCCCUGACCAUGUCCACCAUGGCCUGGUCCCUUCUGGUCCUCACCCUGGUCGCUCUCUGCACAGGAUCCUGGGCCCAGGAUGUGCUGACUCAGCCAUCAUCCGUGUCCGGGUCCCUGGGCCAGAGGGUCACCAUCUCUUGCUCUGGAAGCAGCAGCAACAUUGGGGGUGAUAGUGUGAGCUGGUACCAACAGCUCCCAGGAAAGGCCCCCAGAUUCCUGAUCUAUGGUGAUGAUACCAGAGCCUUGGAGAUCCCAGAUCCAAUCUCUGGCUCCAAGUCUGGGAACUCGGCCUCCCUGACCAUCACUUCGCUCCAGGGUGAGGAUGAAGCUGAUUAUUCCUGCAGGUUUUACGAUGACAGCUUGGAUAGUCACACAGUGCUCCAGGCCAGGGUGGACCUCCGCUCCUCUCUGACGCUAGUAUCUGACCUUCGGGGGUCCCUGCAGUUCCAGGCCUCCGGACUGGAGUCCGGGCUCCGUGGCCAUCCCUGGGCUGAGCUGAGGCCCAGGCUGCUGCUCCUGCUGUUUCUGUGA